GACGAACGCUGGCGGCGUGCUUAACACAUGCAAGUCGAACGGAAAGGCCCUGCUUGCCGGGUGCUCGAGUGGCGAACGGGUGAGUAACACGUGGGUGAUCUGCCCCUUACUUUGGGAUAAGCCUGGGAAACUAGGUCUAAUACUGGAUAGGACCAUGCUGUAGGUGGUGUGGUGGAAAGAUUAGUUUCGGUAAGGGAUGAGCUCGCGGCCUAUCAGCUUGUUGGUGGGGUAAUGGCCUACCAAGGCGUCGACGGGUAGCCGGCCUGAGAGGGUGGACGGCCACAUUGGGACUGAGAUACGGCCCAGACUCCUACGGGAGGCAGCAGUGGGGAAUAUUGCACAAUGGGCGCAAGCCUGAUGCAGCGACGCCGCGGGGGGGAUGACGGCCUUCGGGUUGUAAACUCCUUUCAGCCAUGACGAAGCCCUUGUGGUGACGGUAGUGGUAGAAGAAGCACCGGCUAACUACGUG
rnacentral:rRNA from 1 species